rnacentral:tRNA from 1 species
GGGAGUGUAGCGCAGCUUGGAUAGCGCGGCAGCCUUCUAUUCAGUAAAAAAUAUUUUAAAAAACUGAAAAGUAAGCUGUAGGUCCGGGGUUCAAAUCCUCGCACUCCCG